ACACAGGAGGACAUGGUCAGUUUUAGUAUCGCCCUGGCACCAACUUUCAAUGAUUCCCAACUGGUGCAGCCACGGAGUCCAAAUUUGUCAUUAGUCAUUAUUUCAAGGUCCACGCAGUUUUAUAUAUUCAGCGUCAUACUGGUGUUUGUCCAUGUCGUCGAGCUAGUUAGCUGUCUCCUAAUCACUCUACAGCAAGAAAUGGCACUUCAAAAUAAAAGCUCUGUGCUGGAUAUUUACUGCACUUUAAAAGCCGGGACCCACAUUUAGACCACGACCCACCAGUUGGGAACCACAAGUUUAGAGCAUAUCGACCACUAAGUACAGUUCAUACAACUGGGAAAAUCCCCUCUUUACUACAGACUGUAAACCUGCUGCUCUCAGCUCAGAAACCAGUGAUGUCAGGUCGGUGGGACAGAGAGAGAACAGGGCAAAGAUGCACGAGGAAAUACGAGACAACAUGGACACAGCUGGGCGCUCCAGAACAACGGCGCAGAUCCCCGACAGUUCAACAGUUCAACAUUAGUGCACACCGCAGGAGCUACAAAAACAACAACUCUGUGUAUGAUGCAAUGAAACACCACCAGCCUCGUCACCAGGAAGACCAGAGAGAAGAUGACAAAGAGAGGAAGUCGGACGAGUCGUGCACCAGCAUCACCAGUGUGCCAACCCUCACAUAGUUGGCACAGUAGGAGAAACCGAUGAGGAAUAUGGUGGCGAUGUGAUGGAUUACCUGCUCCUUGAAGUCCUGGAAAACACACAUG